rnacentral:rRNA from 1 species
CGCUGGCGGCGUGCUUAAUACAUGCAAGUCAACUUGACUUUAGAUAGCAAUAUCGAAAGUAGGGUGGCGCACGGGUGCGUAACGCGUAGGUAAUCUGCCCUGAGGUCUGACAUAACCCGUCGAAAGGCGGGCUAACAUCAGAUGAUAUAUAAUCACGACAUCGUGGAAAUAUCAAAUCUUCGGAGCCUUGGGAUGAGCCUGCGUCUGAUUAGGUAGUUGGCGGAGUAAUAGCCCACCAAGCCUACGAUCAGUAGCUGGUCUGAGAGGAUGAUCAGCCACACUGGAACUGAGACACGGUCCAGACUCCUACGGGAGGCAGCAGUAAGGAAUAUUGCUCAAUGGGGGGAAACCCUGAAGCAGCAACGCCGCGUGAAGGAUGAAAUACUUUUGUAUGUAAACUUCUGUAAGAUGGGAAAAAUAUUCUCCUCGGGAGAAUUGAUUGUACCAUCAGAGUAAGCCCCGGCUAACUACGUG